CCUACUGGUGGCAUCAUUGAGGCAUCUUCGUCAAUGGGCGAGAGCCUGAACCAGCCAAGUCGCGUGAAGUCUUCCUUCUCUCUUUUUUUUCCCCUUCUUUUCUCUUUUCCUCCCGUGAGGAACGUGUUCCUUUUUGUAUGUACCAUAUGAAUAAGCAUCGGCUAACUCCGUGCCAGCAGCCGCGGUAAUACGGAGGAUGCGAGCGUUAUCCGGAUUUAUUGGGUUUAAAGGGUGCGUAGGUGGUUAAUUAAGUCAGCGGUGAAAGUUUGUGGCUCAACCAUAAAAUUGCCGUUGAAACUGGUUGACUUGAGUAUAUUUGAGGUAGGCGGAAUGCGUGGUGUAGCGGUGAAAUGCAUAGAUAUCACGCAGAACUCCGAUUGCGAAGGCAGCUUACUAAACUAUAACUGACACUGAAGCACGAAAGCGUGGGGAUCAAACAGGAUUAGAUACCCGAGUAGUC
rnacentral:rRNA from 1 species